rnacentral:piRNA from 1 species
CAAAGGUUUGGGUACGUUG